GACGGAGGAUGCAAGCGUUAUCCGGAAUGAUUGGGCGUAAAGCGUCCGCAGGUGGCAGUUCAAGUCUGCUGUCAAAGACCGGGGCUUAACUUCGGAAAGGCAGUGGAAACUGAACAGCUAGAGUAUGGUAGGGGCAGAGGGAAUUCCUGGUGUAGCGGUGAAAUGCGUAGAGAUCAGGAGGAACACCGGUGGCGAAGGCGGCAUCCUGGACCGACACUGACGCGGAGGAGCGAAAGCCAGGGGAGCAAACGGG
rnacentral:rRNA from 1 species